UGGGGAAUAUUGGACAAUGGGGGCAACCCUGAUCCAGCAAUGCCGCGUGUGUGAAGAAGGUCUUCGGAUUGUAAAGCACUUUCGACGGGGACGAUGAUGACGGUACCCGUAGAAGAAGCCCCGGCUAACUUCGUGCCAGCAGCCGCGGUAAUACGAAGGGGGCUAGCGUUGCUCGGAAUGACUGGGCGUAAAGGGCGUGUAGGCGGUUUACACAGUCAGAUGUGAAAUCCCCGGGCUUAACCUGGGAGCUGCAUUUGAUACGUGUAGACUAGAGUGUGAGAGAGGGUUGUGGAAUUCCCAGUGUAGAGGUGAAAUUCGUAGAUAUUGGGAAGAACACCGGUGGCGAAGGCGGCAACCUGGCUCAUGACUGACGCUGAGGCGCGAAAGCGUGGGGAGCAAACAGGAUUAGAUACCCUGGUAGUCCACGCCUGUAAACGAUGUGUGCUAGAUGUUGGGUAACUUUGUUAU
rnacentral:rRNA from 1 species